rnacentral:tRNA from 1 species
GGCCCGGUAGCUCAGUUGGUAGAGCAGCGGCUUGAAACUCCGCGUGUCGGUGGUUCGAUUCCGCCCCAGGCCACCA